GGUUUAAUUUGAUGCAACGCGAAGAACCUUACCACUUCUUGACAUGGAGAUUAGAUCCUUCUUAACAGAAGGGCGCAGUUCGGCUGGAUCUCACACAGGUGCUGCAUGGCUGUCGUCAGCUCGUGUCGUGAGAUGUUGGGUUAAGUCCCGCAACGAGCGUAACCCUCAUCCUUAGUUGCCAGCGGGUAAUGCCGGGCACUUUAAGGAAACUGCCAGUGGUAAACUGGAGGAAGGUGGGGAUGAUGUCAAGUCAGCACGGCCCUUAUGGGGUGGGCUACACACGUGCUACAAUGGUGACUACAAUAGGUUGCAAUGUCGCAAGGCUUGGAGCUAAUCCGUAAAAGUCAUCUCAGUUCGGAUUGUCCUCUGCAACUCGAGGGCAUGAAGUCGGAAUCGCUAGUAAUCGUGGAUCAGCAUGCCA
rnacentral:rRNA from 1 species